AUGAGACCAGGUUUCAUUUGCACAAUUACUGCUCAGCAUUAAACCUUCUGUGGAUUAGGUUGCUGCUCGGCACAACUUUUCCUGUGUGGACAGUAAAUGUCAUUAACCACAUUUCUAUAAGCGGAUGAAUACGUGACACCAGGUGGGUUUUGUCAUGGGACGUGAGGCUAUAGACAACACGAUCAGAGCGUUCACUCUCAUGCACAGACGAGAUUGUGGGGACGAAGGCGUUCUGCUGCUGUCCACGGACGCAGAGAAGGCCUUUGACAGAGUCGACUGGCAAUACAUGUUCCACACACUGACACAUAUCGGGCUGGGACCGCACUUCCGGAGAUGGGUAGAGGCACUGUACAAAGGGCCCACCGCCCACGUCAUCGUAAACGGAGUCCUGACAAAUGAAUUCCCCAUAAACAACGGCACAAGGCAGGGAUGCCUUCUAUCCCCCCUGCUCUUUGUGCUGACACUCGAGCCCUUUCUGACACACAUACGACCCAACGCAGCUAUUAGGGGUAUUGGAAAGGGAGACACGUAACACAAGGUAGCAGCAUACGCCGAUGACCUCCUUUUCUUCGUCACCAACCCGGAGAUCUCAUGCCCGAAUAUCCUGAAGGCCUUCAGGAUCUUCAGGGAGGUAUCCAACCUUAAAAUCAACUUCACAAAAUCCUAUAUCUUGAACGUUAGUAUACCCAAACACAGAGCCACCCCCUUGAAGCAGAGCCACACAUUCCAAUGGGCGCAACACAAGAUACAGUACCUGGGCACAUGGUUGAUGAAAAGGGAAAAUUACCUAUUCAGAGAAAAUUUUAUCCCCCUGCUAGAUAGGUUCCGGAAAGACCUGUCGGAUUGGGCAGGAUCCGGGUAAUAAAAAUGAACCUGCUCCCACGCCUGUUAUACCUCAUGCAAGCCCUACCCAUAAUCAUCCCCAGAUCAUUUUUUCAGACCCUGAGACAGGCAACGGGGAAAUACAUAUGGGACCACAGGAGACCGAGAGUUAAGAUGACUGCACUGAU